ACAACAUCUGUUAGACUAUUCUUUUUUCACAACAAUUGAUUUUUUAUUCCAAUUUUUUUUUUAUCAUUUGAAUGGAACAAUAAACAAAUCGCAUUCCAACGAAUCUUUGGAGAAUGUAAUGUAUAGAAAAAAAAAUGGAAUGUAGCUAUAAAAAAAUUCAAGAUUAAAACGGCUCAUGAAUGAAUAAAUGUGAGUGGAAGGAAAAUCUUUUUUUUCAUUCUAUAACUUUUCUUAUUCCAUUCAUCUACGUUUCAUAUUUUUUAAAUUUCAUUCAUUCAUGAUUCUCCUAAAGUUGAUAACCAGCUGGUGACCAUGGACUGAAAAUGAAUAAUGCAUUCCUUAGUAUUCUUUUUUUUUAUAAUUUACAAGGAAUAGUUUUUUUUUUCAUUCAUUCUCAUUACUUUUAUUGUAAAGGAAUAUAGAACAAAUUUAUUCCUCACUAAAAUUGAUAAGGAAUAAUCUUUAUUUUCAUUCCUAUAAUUUUAUUCCUCUGCAUUUUUUUCCCU
rnacentral:lncRNA from 1 species